CGAUAUAGAAAGAUAUCGAUAAAUUAUUUAAAUCGAUGAUACUUGAAGAAGUGUUGGUUUUAGUUAUUUACGCUGUCUACAAUUUUUAGUUGAUUACGUUUGCUUUUGUUAAAAUCGGUACGGAGGCGCGAUAAAUUUUAAGCGAGAAAGGCGUCAAAUAUUUAUUCGUCUAUAUAAAUUAUAUGAAAUAUAAAUAUAAGUAGUUGUUACAGACCUAUGUAGAUUCGAGAUAUCGCGAUAAAAAUAAAAACUAUGUGUUCUAACAUUGUUACCAGAUAUUCUGUUCGGGUCGGAUUUACUGAAAUGCCACUUGAGUAAUUUUCGACAAACUAGAAUGAUUGGUAUCCUACAUUCGGCUGUGCUUUCCUUUUCUACCACGAUAUAUUUGCUUAUAAUGUAAUAAAUUUGAGGAGCGAACUGUCAAACGAACGAUGAGAGAGAAGAACAAAGCGAAAUAAGAAAAACCCAGUCAACCAAAAGGUUUUUGUCAACUUAUGUUAUCAGUCGAUGCUUUGAUAGAAAGGGUAUUUCCAAAUAUUUCAGCCAAUCACACAAACUAUAGAUGGCUUCGAGAAAGGGCAAUUUUGGCACCUAAGAAUGACGAUGUAAAUGUCAUUAAUUCCAAAAUUCAAGAAAUACUACCAGGAACUGUCACAACUUAUCAUUCCAUUGACACAGUCGUCGAAGAAUCCCAGGCUGUUCAUUAUCCCGUUGAGUUUCUUAACUCCUUGGACCCAUCAGGAAUUCCUCCUCAUCGACUGAUGCUCAAAAAGGGGGCCAUGAUAAUUAUGCUGCGUAAUUUGGAUCCUCCACGUUUAUGCAAUGGCACAAGGCUAAUCAUCACGAAACUUUUACCGAAUGUUAUAGAAGCUAUGGUUUUAUCAGGAAAUUUUGAAAACCACAAAGUUUUCAUACCAAGAAUUCCAAUGAUACCGACGGAUAUGCCUUUCAAUUUUAAACGCCUCCAAUUUCCUAUUAGACUGGCUUUCGCAAUGUCCAUAAAUAAAGCUCAGGGACAAUCAUUAGCUGUAGCAGGAGUCAAUCUAACCAACUCAUGUUUUACCCAUAGCCAAUUAUAUUUAGCCUGCUCCAGAGUUGGCGCACCGAAAAACCUUUUUAUUUAUACUCAAAAUAAUAUAACAAAAAAUGUCGUAUAUCCGGUCGUUUUAAAUAAUACCUAAACUGACUUAAAAAAGUUAAAGUUGUUUUAUUUACAUUGCAUACUUUUUGAUAGAAAUGUGGGGUGAAACCCACGGGUAUAAGCUAGUAUAUUAU